GACGAACGCUGGCGGCGUGCCUAAUACAUGCAAGUCGAACGAGAGCGCCCGGUGCUUGCGCUGGUCAAUCUAGUGGCGAACGGGUGAGUAACACGUGGGUAACCUGCCCAUCAGAGGGGGAUAACAUCCGGAAACGGAUUCUAAAACCGCAGAGGUCUUCGAACCGCAUGGUUUGGAGAGGAAACGAGGCGCAAGCUUCUGCUGAUGGCUGGACCCGCGUUGCAUUAGCUAGUUGGUGAGGUAACGGCUCACCAAGGCCGUGAUGCAUAGCCGACCUGAGAGGAUGAUCGGCCACAUUGGAACUGAGACACGGCCCAAACUCCUACGGGAGGCAGCAGUAGGGAAUAUUCCGCAAUGGACGCAAGUCUGACGGAGCAACGCCGCGUGAGUGAAGAAGGUUUUCGGAUCGUAAAACUCUGUUGUUAGAGAAGAACAAGUGCUAGAGUAACUGUUAGCGCCUUGACGGUAUCUAACCAGAAAGCAACGGCUAACUACGUG
rnacentral:rRNA from 1 species